rnacentral:pre_miRNA from 1 species
UGUGGUUUGCUUUUGAGUAUGUUUGUUGUCUGAGACAUGCGCAAUAUCAAACCUCAAG